GACGAACGCUGGCGGCGUGCCUAAUACAUGCAAGUCGAGCGGAGUAAGGCCUUCGGGCUUUAUUGAGCGGCGGACGGGUGAGUAACACGUAGGUAACCUGCCAAUCAGACUGGGAUAACUACCGGAAACGGUAGCUAAGACCGGAUACGCUUAGGAGAGGGCAUCCUCAUCUAAGGAAAAGCGGAGCAAUCUGCUGCUGAAUGAUGGACCUGCGGCGCAUUAGCUAGUUGGUGAGGUAGUAGCUCACCAAGGCGACGAUGCGUAGCCGACCUGAGAGGGUGAACGGCCACACUGGGACUGAGACACGGCCCAGACUCCUACGGGAGGCUG
rnacentral:rRNA from 1 species